CCUUCUCGAGUCCUGUGGCUCAUGCCCCGGGUCCUGCAGGUGGAGCUGGUGGGAGUGAGCUGUGGAUGCAGAGAGCCAUUCAGAUGCUUUUUGUUGCCAACAUUUCCUGCAGCUGUCCAUGUCCAGCACACUCCUCUACCUUGAGUCCAGAAAGGGGAUUGCAACCCAGCAGGAGUUUGUGGUGAAUUGCUUAACUCAUUUGCUGACACUUAAACAAAGAAGGAAACCUGGCUGAAAUUACGGGUAUAGGAUAUAACUGUUAAAGACAAAUCUGCUGUUAGCAGACUAACGGUUUGUAAGUAAGGCUGGAUUGUGGGGUGGAACCAACAGGUGAGAAGUGGGGUAAAGAAUUACCCUUCCCAUUUUUCAGGUGAGGAACUGAGGAGUGGAGUGACUUGGGCAGAUCCUGGGGAAUUUUUGGGAACUGGUUACCAGUCUGAGAGAAAUAAGGGUGUUGGUCUGGAAAAAAAAAAAGAGAAGUGACCUUGUACCAAAA